rnacentral:tRNA from 1 species
GGUGGCUUGGUGCAGUGGUCAAGCACCUGGCAUUAGGGUAUAGUGUACCUGAACACCUACCCUACGUUGGUUCGAAUCCAGCAGCCAUCA